UACGGAGGGGGCUAGCGUUGUUCGGAAUUACUGGGCGUAAAGCGCGCGUAGGCGGACCUGCAAGUCGGGGGUGAAAGCCCGAGGCUCAACCUCGGAACUGCCUUCGAUACUGCGGGUCUCGAGUCCGGGAGAGGUGAGUGGAAUUCCUAGUGUAGUAGGUGGAAAUUCGUAGAUAUUCGCAAGAACACCAGUGGCGAAGGCGGCUCACUG
rnacentral:rRNA from 1 species